AGCCUUCUGUAUUGUACUGAGAUUUCGUCACACACCAAGGGCUGAUGAGACUUCCAAGAUAAGUGAAGCG
rnacentral:pre_miRNA from 1 species